rnacentral:tRNA from 1 species
AAAAAUUUAGUUAAAAAAUAACAUUAGCUUGUCAAGCUAAAAUUAUCUAAAUUUAGAUAAUUUUUA